rnacentral:rRNA from 1 species
CAGUCGCCACGGUAAAACGAAGGGGGCUAGCGUUGCUCGGAAUGACUGGGCGUAAAGGGCGCGUAGGCGGAUCACGCAGUCAGAUGUGAAAUUCCUGGGCUUAACCUGGGGGCUGCAUUUGAGACGCGUGGUCUAGAGUGUGAAAGAGGGUCGUGGAAUUCCCAGUGUAGAGGUGAAAUUCGUAGAUAUUGGGAAGAACACCGGUGGCGAAGGCGGCGACCUGGUUCAUGACUGACGCUGAGGCGCGAAAGCGUGGGGAGCAAACAGGAUUAGAUACCCCUGUAGUCCCUGUCUCUUAUAC